UAUGGGUGUGUCAUAUAGGGCCAUAUAUGCCAAUUCCUGACAUGGGAAUAUAAUCCCAUAUUUCGCCCAAAUCCAUAUAUGGCCUCACCCAUAGAUGGCCAUGUCAGGAAUUGGGAUAUAUGGCCCUAUAUGACACACCCAUA
rnacentral:pre_miRNA from 1 species